GGGGAAGUAGCUCAGUGGGAACAGAGCACUUGCUUUGCCUGCAGAAGGUCCCAGGUUCAAUCCCCAAUUGGCAUCUCCA